GAUGAACGCUGGCGGCGUGCCUAAUACAUGCCAGUCGAGCGAACAGACGAGGAGCUUGCUCCUCUGACGUUAGCGGCGGACGGGUGAGUAACACGUGUAUAACCUACCUAUAAGACUGGGAUAACUUCGGGAAACCGGAGCUAAUACCGUAUAAUAUAUUGAACCGCAUGGUUCAAUAGUGAAAUACGGUUUUGCUGUCACUUAUAGAUGGAUCCGCGCCGCAUUAGCUAGUUGGUAAGGUAACGGCUUACCAAGGCAACGAUGCGUAGACGAACUGAGAGGGUGAUCGGCCACACUGGAACUGAGACACGGUCAAGACUCCUACGGGAGGCAGCAGUAGGGAAUCUUACGCAAUGGGCGAAAGCCUGACGGAGCAACGCCGAGUGAGUGAUGAAGGUCUUCGGAUCGUAAAACUCUGUUAUUAGGGAAGAACAAAUGUGUAAGUAACUAUGCACGUAUUGACGGUACCUAAUCAGAAAGCCACGGCUAACUACGUG
rnacentral:rRNA from 1 species